AAUUUAUUUGAUAAAACUUAAAACUUAUUAGAAAUAUUAAAAUUGUAAAUAUAUAUCAUAACUUAAAAGCACAAAAAAAACUAAAAAAAAACAAAAUAAAAGGCUUACAAGAAGAAACUAAAAUCCAAGAUUCCCUAUCUCGGUGAAGACUUUCGUUGAACAUGUUGUGUGUACUAAAUAAACGAGUGGAGAAUGCAGCGACAAAACAAUAGAUUCGAAAAUUGGGUUUGAACUUUUCCAGAGAUGGAGGUCUCCUUGUUAUCAUUGUGAAUCACAUUUGAUUUUCACGAUUUGAUGAUCAAGAGAUUGUUCAAUCGCCAUCGGAGUUAACAAGAGAAAAGAGAAAGAAACGACAUAGAAAAAUGAAAAUAAUACGUUGGCAAAGGAAAACAAAUGUUUCGUCCAAAAACGUUACCAAUUGAGAAGUUGACACGUAUGCGCACCUUAACAUUAUUAAAAAUCCAAGCUUAGGAAUGCACCUAAGUUUAUAUAACAUUUUUUAUUUAAUUUUUGCCCAUUUUACCGAAGGAUUCAUACAUUAGAAACUCUUAAGGAUCACUAAUGAAGGUGGUCUUAGAUCGGUUCACCAGUGGGCAAAUAUAAAACAUCUAUCGUAUAUUUUCUUCUAGUUACCAAAUUUAGGAUUGCAUUUUUGUUUAAUUAUUUUGUUAUUCUAUGACUCCAAAUGGAUAUGUCCGGUUUAACGGCUGAUCAAAUGCGGUUCGGUUCUAAUAAUGACUAAUAUAUAUAUAUAUAUAUAUAUGAAGAAAAUUUUGUUACUACAGUAGAAACUCUAUAAAUUAAUAAUAUUGGGACCAUGAAAUUUUAUUAAUUUAUAGUGAUAUUAAUUUAUAAAAUAAU
rnacentral:sRNA from 1 species